GCGGAAGUAGCUCAGUGGUAGAGCACCACCUUGCCAAGGUGGGGGUCGCGGGUCCGAGCCCCGUUUUCCGCU
rnacentral:tRNA from 1 species